rnacentral:rRNA from 1 species
UUGUCCGGAAUCAUUGGGCGUAAAGCGCACGUAGGCGGAUCUUUAAGUCAGGGGUGAAAUCCUGGAGCUCAACUCCAGAACUGCCUUUGAUACUGAGGGUCUUGAGUUCGGGAGAGGUGAGUGGAACUGCGAGUGUAGAGGUGAAAUUCGUAGAUAUUCGCAAGAACACCAGUGGCGAAGGCGGCUCACUGGCCCGAUACUGACGCUGAGGUGCGAAAGCGUGGGGAGCGAACAGG